rnacentral:rRNA from 1 species
UACGUAGGGUGCAAGCGUUGUCCGGAAUUAUUGGGCGUAAAGGGCUCGUAGGCGGUCCAUCGCGUCGGGAGUGAAAAGCUGGGGCUUAACCCCAGUCCUGCUUCCGAUACGGGUGGACUAGAGGUAGGUAGGGGAGAUCGGAAUUCCUGGUGUAGCGGUGAAAUGCGCAGAUAUCGGGAGGAACACCAAUUGCGAAGGCAGCUCGCUGGGACGUUACUGACGCUGAGACGCGAAAGCGUGGGGAGCAAACAGG